AGGUAUUGACCUCCAAUGGUUGAGGUUAGGUAUUGAGCUUGAAUGGUUGAGGUUAGGUAUUGACCUCCAAUGGCUGAGGUUAGGUAUUGACCUUGAAUGGUUAAGGUUAGGUAUUGACCUUCAAUGGUUGGGGUUAGGCAUUGACCUCGAAUGGUUAAAGUUAGGUAUUGACCUUGAAUGGUUAAGGUUAGGCAUUGACCUCUAAUAGUUAAGGUUAGGAUAGGUCGUCGGUCAGCGAGUCACGCAAGAGUUUUUGGAGGUUUUCGCUAUUUGUGGGUUUACUUCUAGAGAAAGGAUUCAGGCAAUUUGCAAUAACUUUGACUAAGAAGUUAGAACUCAGCUGGUUUGUUGCUUGGCAGCUAACAGUAAAGUUAGCUAGUCUGCUUAGUUUUUGUAGUUUUAGUUGACCCAUAUAUA